CCUACGAGUGGCAGCAGUGAGGAAUAUUGGUCAAUGGCCGUAAGGCUGAACCAGCCAAGUCGCGUGAAGGAAGAAGGAUCUAUGGAUUGUAAACUUCUUUUAUAGGGGAAUAAAGGUAUCCACGUGUGGAUAUUUGCAUAUACCAUAUGAAUCAGCAUCGGCUAACUCCGUGCAAGCAGCCGCGGUAAUACGGAGGAUGCGAGCGUUAUCCGGAUUUAUUGGGUUUAAAGGGUGCGUAGGGGGUUAAUUAAGUCAUCGGUGAAAGUUUGUGGCUCAACCAUAAAAUUGCAGUUGAAACUGGUUGACUUGAGUAUAGUUGAGGUAGGCGGAAUGCGUGGUGUAGCGGUGAAAUGCAUAGAUAUCACGCAGAACUCCGAUUGCGAAGGCAGCUUACUAAACUAUAACUGACACUGAAGCACGAAAGCGUGGGGAUCAAACAGGAUUAGAUACCCCUGUAGUC
rnacentral:rRNA from 1 species